UGGGGAAUAUUGGACAAUGGGCGAAAGCAUGAUCCAGCCAUGCCGCGUGUGUGAAGGAGGUCUUCGGAUUGUAAAGCACUUUAAGUUGGGAGGAAGGGCAGUAAGCGAAUACCUUGCUGUUUUGACGUUACCGACAGAAUAAGCACCGGCGAACUCUGUGCCAGCAGCCGCGGUAAUACAGAGGGUGCAAGCGUUAAUCGGAAUUACUGGGCGUAAAGCGCGCGUAGGUGGUUCGUUAAGUUGAAUGUGAAAGCCCCGGGCUCAACCUGGGAACUGCAUCCAAAACUGGCGAGCUAGAGUAGGGCAGAGGGUGGUGGAAUUUCCUGUGUAGCGGUGAAAUGCGUAGAUAUAGGAAGGAACACCAGUGGCGAAGGCGACCACCUGGGCUCAUACUGACACUGAGGUGCGAAAGCGUGGGGAGCAAACAGG
rnacentral:rRNA from 1 species